CCUACGGGCGGCAGCAGUGAGGAAUAUUGGUCAAUGGGAGAGAUCCUGAACCAGCCAAGCCGCGUGAGGGAAGACGGCCCUAUGGGUUGUAAACCUCUUUUGUCGGAGAACAAAACCCGGGACGAGUCCCGGACUGCGUGUAUCCGAAGAAAAAGCAUCGGCUAACUCCGUGCCAGCAGCCGCGGUAAUACGGAGGAUGCGAGCGUUAUCCGGAUUCAUUGGGCUUAAAGGGAGCGUAGGCGGGCGUUCAAGUCAGCUGUAAAAUCGCGCGGCUCAACCGCGCCCCGCAGUUGAAACUGGACGCCUUGAGUUCACAACAGGCAGGCGGAAUUCGUGGUGUAGCGGUGAAAUGCAUAGAUAUCACGAGGAACCCCGAUUGCGAAGGCAGCCUGCCGGGGUGCGACUGACGCUGAGGCUCGAAGGUGCGGGUAUCAAACAGGAUUAGAUACCCUUGUAGUC
rnacentral:rRNA from 1 species